GAUGAACGCUGGCGGCGUGCUUAACACAUGCAAGUCGAACGAACCUUCGGGUUAGUGGCGGACGGGUGAGUAACGCGUGGGAAUCUGCCCUCAGGAGGGGGAUAACGGCCGGAAACGGCCGCUAAUACCCCAUAUGCCGAGAGGUGAAAUGAAUUUCGCCUGAGGAUGAGCCCGCGUCUGAUUAGCUAGUUGGUGGGGUAAUGGCCCACCAAGGCGACGAUCAGUAGCUGGUCUGAGAGGAUGAUCAGCCACACUGGGACUGAGACACGGCCCAGACUCCUACGGGAGGCAGCAGUGGGGAAUUUUCCGCAAUGGGCGAAAGCCUGACGGAGCAACGCCGCGUGAGGGAUGAAGGCCUCUGGGCUGUAAACCUCUUUUCUCAAGGAAGAAGACAUGACGGUACUUGAGGAAUAAGCCACGGCUAAUUCCGUGCCAGCAGCCGCGGUAAUACGGGAGUGGCAAGCGUUAUCCGGAAUUAUUGGGCGUAAAGCGUCCGCAGGCGGCCUUGUAAGUCUGUCGUUAAAGCGUGGAGCUUAACUCCAUUUAAGCGAUGGAAACUACAAGGCUUGAGUGUGGUAGGGGCAGAGGGAAUUCCCGGUGUAGCGGUGAAAUGCGUAGAUAUCGGGAAGAACACCAGUGGCGAAGGCGCUCUGCUGGGCCAUAACUGACGCUCAUGGACGAAAGCCAGGGGAGCGAAAGGGAUUAGAUACCCCUGUAGUCCUGGCCGUAAACGAUGAACACUAGGUGUCGGGGGAAUCGACCCCCUCGGUGUCGUAGCUAACGCGUUAAGUGUUCCGCCUGGGGAGUACGCACGCAAGUGUGAAACUCAAAGGAAUUGACGGGGGCCCGCACAAGCGGUGGAGUAUGUGGUUUAAUUCGAUGCAACGCGAAGAACCUUACCAGGGUUUGACAUCCUGCGAAUCCCUUGGAAACGAGGGAGUGCCUUCGGGAGCGCAGAGACAGGUGGUGCAUGGCUGUCGUCAGCUCGUGUCGUGAGAUGUUGGGUUAAGUCCCGCAACGAGCGCAACCCACGUCUUUAGUUGCCAGCAUUCAGUUGGGCACUCUAGAGAGACCGCCGGUGAUAAACCGGAGGAAGGUGUGGAUGACGUCAAGUCAUCAUGCCCCUUACAUCCUGGGCUACACACGUACUACAAUGCUACGGACAAAGGGUUGCAAGCUCGCGAGAGUUAGCUAAUCCCAUAAACCGUGGCUCAGUUCAGAUCGUAGGCUGCAACUCGCCUACGUGAAGGAGGAAUCGCUAGUAAUCGCAGGUCAGCAUACUGCGGUGAAUACGUUCCCGGGCCUUGUACACACCGCCCGUCACACCAUGGAAGUUGGCCAUGCCCGAAGUCGUUACUCCAACCCUUGUGGAGGAGGACGCCGAAGGUGGGGCUGAUGACUGGGGUGAAGUCGUAACAAGGUAGCCGUACCGGAAGGUGCGGCUGGAUCACCUCCUAA
rnacentral:rRNA from 5 species